rnacentral:ncRNA from 1 species
AGUAAACUUGGCUCUGAUUUCAGGUAUGGCGUGCGCUAAAAGAUACACAUGGUAUUUAUUGAGAGUAGUGAGGUGGAAAGCUAGGAAUUAAUGACGGAACGAAAAGUUAAAGCGGUUAUAGUUUUCUAGGGCGUUAUUGAAAACAUGAUGUUCUGAAAAGCCCACUAACACCAGUGUUGGAGAUUAAAAGAAAGGUGAAAGCUUGUAUUAGUUUAGCGAGUAAAAUUUGGUUAAUUUGGUGCCAGCAUCCGCGGUUAAACCAAGAGAUUUAGUCAUUCUUUACGGUAAAAAGACAGUUAGGCAGCAGACUAGAGCCAUUAGACCCUUAGUAUAGGAGUAAAAUCUAGAUACUAGUAGUUAUACCGAAGGUGGUUUAUUUGAGAUGCUGAGGCUGUGAAAGCUUUAAGGGAAACUGGGAUUGGAUACCCCACUAUUUUUAGCUAUAAAUUUACUUUUAAUAUACCAGAGUACUACGAAUAAAAAGUUUAAAACUCAAAGGGCUUGGCGGUGUUUUAGACCUCUCAGGGGAACCUGUCUCAUAAUCGACAGUCCACGUUAAACCUAACCCUUUAUAGUAAUUCAGCUUGUAUACCGUCGUCGUCAGGUAACUUCUUAAAAUAUAGUAGUUAGCUAGAAAAUUUUAUUGAUUAAAACGUCAGAUCAAGGUGCAGCCAAUGAAAGGGGGAGGAUGGGUUACAAUUAUAGAUUUAUAAUUACGGAAAGGGCUUAGAAAUAAAGCAACUUAAAGGAGGACUUGAAAGUAAUUUUAAUUACAUAAAUAGGAUGAAUGCGGCUCUGAAACGUGCACACAUCGCCCGUCGCUCUCGUUGAAAAAUGAGAUAAGUCGUAACAUAGUAGGGGUAAUGGAAAUUGCUCCUAGGCUGAA